rnacentral:rRNA from 1 species
UACGAAGGGGCGAGCGUUGUUCGGAUUUACUGGGCGUAAAGGGUGCGCAGGCGGCCUUGCGCGUCGCGAGUGAAAUCUCCCGGCUCAACUGGGAGGUGGUCGCGAGACGGCAGGGCUUGAGGCUCGGUGAGGGGCGUGGAAUUCCGGGUGGAGCGGUGAAAUGACGUAGAGAGUCCGGAGGAACACCGACGGCGUAGGCAGCGCCCUACGAGAGACCUGACGCUCAGGCACGAAAGCCGCGGGGAGCGAACAGG